GGUUAGUCCGCCGCGAAUUUUUGAAAAAGUUUUAUUUUAGCUUGAAAAUUAGCUUUCUGAUUUGAGUAUAUGUGAGUUUUAGCAUUUAUGUUUUUUAUAAGUUUGGGUUGUUGCAGUAUUUAAAAUUAAUUUUUGUAUUGAUUUAUGAUUUAGGAAUUUAGUUUAGAUUAAACUUAAUUUGUGCCAGCAGUAGCGGUUAUACAGAUUAUUCAAGUUAAUUUUUUUAUGUUUAGUUAAAAGUUUAAUUGUAAUUUUAAUUUGAUUUUUUAAGGUGAAAUUUAAAGUUUAGUUAUGAGUUACAUUUUUGUUUUUGAAGCUGAGAAAAUUUUAUUUUAAACUAGGAUUAGAUACCCUAUUAUUUUUAUUGUUAUUUUAUACUUGAUUUAUUAAUAGUUAAGACCUUUAAAAUUAAAAAAUUUGGCGGUAUUUUAGUCUUUUCAGAGGAACCUGUUUUUUAAAUUGAUAAUCCACGAUUAAUAGUAUUUUAUUUUUAAAUUUGCAUAUCGUUGUUUACAAAAAUUUUAUUAGAACUUGAAUUUUUAUGAUUUUUAAUUAUGAAUUAUUUCAGAUCAAGGUGCAGUUUAUAUUAAAAUUAAAAUGGGUUACAUUGCUUUUAUGUUUGGUUUUAAUUGUUAAAAAUUUUAGAUAAAUUGGAUUUGAUAGUAAUUUCUUUUUAUUUGGGUUUUGAUUUAGCUCUAAAAUAUGCACAUAUCGCCCGUCGCUUUCACAUUAAUGUGGAAUAAGUCGUAACAAAGUAGGCUUAUUGGAAAAUGAGCCUAGAAUGA
rnacentral:rRNA from 1 species